rnacentral:rRNA from 1 species
UUAAGUGACUAAGCGUAUACGGUGGAUGCCUAGGCAGUUAGAGGCGAUGAAGGACGUGUAAGUCUGCGAUAAGCUGUGGAGAGCCGACAAAAUGCUUUGACCCACAGAUUUCCGAAUGGGGAAACCCACCGCUUCGGCGGUAUCAUUAAGUGAAUACAUAGCUUAAUGAGGCGAACGAGGGGAACUGAAACAUCUAAGUACCCUUAGGAAAAGAAAUCAACAGAGAUUCCCCUAGUAGCGGCGAGCGAACGGGGAGCAGCCGAGUAGUAAUGAAGUAGUGGAAUGUGUUGGAAAGCACAGCGAUACAGGGUGAUAGCCCCGUACACGAAGCGUCAUUAUUGCCAUAUUAAGUAGGUCGGGACACGAGUUAUCUUGACUGAACAUGGGGGGACCAUCCUCCAAGGCUAAAUACUCCUAACUGACCGAUAGUGAACCAGUACCGUGAGGGAAAGGCGAAAAGAACCCCUGUGAGGGGAGUGAAAUAGAACCUGAAACCGUAUACGUACAAGCAGUAGGAGCAGGCUCUCGCAAGAGAAUAGUCCUGUGACUGCGUACCUUUUGUAUAAUGGGUCAGCGACUUAUAUUUAGUAGCAAGGUUAACCGAAUAGGGGAGCCGUAGCGAAAGCGAGUGUUAACUGCGCGUUGAGUUGCUAGGUAUAGACCCGAAACCGAGUGAUCUAGCCAUGGGCAGGUUGAAGGUUGAGUAACAUCAACUGGAGGACCGAACCGACUAACGUUGAAAAGUUAGCGGAUGACUUGUGGCUGGGGGUGAAAGGCCAAUCAAACUCGGAGAUAGCUGGUUCUCCCCGAAAGCUAUUUAGGUAGCGCCUCGGACGAAUACCACAGGGGGUAGAGCACUGUUAAGGCUAGGGGGUCAUCCCGACUUACCAACCCUUUGCAAACUCCGAAUACCUGUGAGUACUAUCCGGGAGACACACGGCGGGUGCUAACGUCCGUCGUGAAGAGGGAAACAACCCAGACCGCCAGCUAAGGUCCCUAAAUAUUACUAAGUGGGAAACGAUGUGGAAAGGCAUAGACAGCUAGGAGGUUGGCUUAGAAGCAGCCACCCUUUAAAGAAAGCGUAAUAGCUCACUAGUCGAGUCGGUCUGCGCGGAAGAUGUAACGGGGCUAAGUAAUAUACCGAAGCUGCGGACGCAAAGUUUACUUUGCGUGGUAGGGGAGCGUUGUGUAAGUGGCUGAAGGUGAGCUGAGAGGCGAGCUGGACAUAUCACAAGUGCGAAUGCUGACAUGAGUAACGAUAAUGGGGGUGAAAAACCCCCACGCCGGAAGACCAAGGUUUCCUGUCCCAUGCUAAUCAGGGCAGGGUAAGUCGGCCCCUAAGGCGAGGCAGAAAUGCGUAGUCGAUGGGAAACGGAUUAAUAUUUCCGUACUUGGUAUAUCAGUGAAGGGGGGACGGAGAAAGUUAUGCAAGCCUGGCGUUGGUUGUCCAGGUGAAAGUGCGUAGAGUUGGACCUUAGGCAAAUCCGGGGUCCUACAUGCUCGAGACACGAGACGAGACUCUAAGGAGUUGAAGUUGCAAAUACUAUGCUUCCAGGAAAAGCCUCUAAACUUAUGAUAUAUCGAACCGUACCCCAAACCGACACAGGUGGUCAGGUAGAGAAUACCAAGGCGCUUGAGAGAACUCGGGUGAAGGAACUAGGCAAAAUGGUACCGUAACUUCGGGAGAAGGUACGCCGCUGAUGGUGAUGGGACUUGCUCCCUAAGCUGUUGGCGGCCGAAGAUACCAGGUGGCUGCGACUGUUUAUUAAAAACACAGCACUGUGCAAACACGAAAGUGGACGUAUACGGUGUGACGCCUGCCCGGUGCCGGAAGGUUAAUUGAUGGGGUUAGCUUCGGCGAAGCUCUUGAUCGAAGCCCCGGUAAACGGCGGCCGUAACUAUAACGGUCCUAAGGUAGCGAAAUUCCUUGUCGGGUAAGUUCCGACCUGCACGAAUGGCGUAACGACGGCCACACUGUCUCCACCCGAGACUCAGUGAAAUUGAAAUCGCUGUUAAGAUGCAGUGUACCCGCAGCUAGACGGAAAGACCCCGUGAACCUUUACUAUAGCUUCACAGUGAACUUUGAACCUAUUUGUGUAGGAUAGGUGGGAGGCUUUGAAACUGGGACGCUAGUCUCAGUGGAGCCAAACUUGAAAUACCACCCUGGUAUGUUUGAGGUUCUAACUCAGUUCCGUAAUCCUGAUCG